rnacentral:rRNA from 1 species
GAUGAACGCUGGCGGCGUGCCUAAUACAUGCAAGUCGAGCGAACAGAUGAGGAGCUUGCUCCUCUGACGUUAGCGGCGGACGGGUGAGUAACACGUGGAUAACCUACCUAUAAGACUGGGAUAACUUCGGGAAACCGGAGCUAAUACCGGAUAAUAUAUUGAACCGCAUGGUUCAAUAGUGAAAGACGGUUUUGCUGUCACUGAUGGAUGGGUCCGCGCCGCAUUAGCUAGGUGGUAAGGUAACGGCUUACCAAGGCAACGACGGGUAGCCGGCCUGAGAGGUUGAUCGGCCACAUGGGGACUGGGAUACGGCCCAGACUCCUACGGGAGGCAGCAGUGGCGAAUAUUGCACAAUGGGCGGAAGCCUGAUGCAGAGAUGUCGCGUGAGGGAUGACGGCCCUCGGGUUGUAAACCUAUUUCAGCAGGGACGAAGCGUAAGUGACGGUACCUGCAGAAGAAGCACCGGCUAACUAUGUG